rnacentral:tRNA from 1 species
GGCCUGGUAGUUCAGCUGGUUAGAACGCUAGCCUGUCACGCUAGAGGUCGUCGGUUCGAUCCCGAUCCAGGUCG